rnacentral:rRNA from 1 species
UGGGGAAUAUUGGGCAAUGGGCGCAAGCCUGACCCAGCGACGCCGCGUGAGGGAUGAAGGCCUUCGGGUUGUAAACCUCUUCCAGUAGGGAAGAAGCGAAAGUGACGGUACCUAAAGAAGAAGCACCGGCUAACUAUGUG